rnacentral:rRNA from 1 species
UACGUAGGGUGCAAGCGUUAAUCGGAAUUACUGGGCGUAAAGCGUGCGCAGGCGGUUAUCUAAGACAGUUGUGAAAUCCCCGGGCUCAACCUGGGAACUGCAUCUGUGACUGUAUAGCUAGAGUACGGUAGAGGGGGAUGGAAUUCCGCGUGUAGCGGUGAAAUGCGUAGAUAUGCGGAGGAACACCGAUGGCGAAGGCAAUCCCCUGGACCUGUACUGACGCUCAUGCACGAAAGCGUGGGGAGCAAACAGG